rnacentral:rRNA from 1 species
UACGGGGGGAGCAAGCGUUGUUCGGAUUUACUGGGCGUAAAGGGCGCGUAGGCGGCCACCGCAAGUCGACUGUGAAAAUCUCCGGGCUUAACCCGGAAAGGUCAGCCGAUACUGCGGGGGCUAGAGUGCAGAAGGGGGCAACUGGAAAUUCUCGGUGUAGCGGUGAAAAUGCGUAGAUAUCUGGAGGAACACCGGUGGCGAAG